CCAACUCAAGCUGAGACUCGCGAAUGGGAAUUUCGUUUUUAAGUUUUGGUCUGGCUGUCUGUCUGUUUGUCUUCUUUUGAGAAUUGUUUCUUUUUUUUUUUUGUUUUGAAAAAAAAUUUAGUUUUUCCAUUUGGCCACUACUUUGACGAAGAAAAGCCACGCCGUGUGAGUGUUUCGUAUCGAGACCGCACAAAUAGAGUAGUCGUCGAAACGGCAAAUUCAGUCAAGGAAGCCGUGGCAGCAGCACUAGCUCCAGUCACUCCGGCAGUCAGUCAGUAGCCAGGCACAAUCGUAACUCGAAGUCCAAGAAAGAAAAUUAGAAGAAAAAAAUAAAUAAACCGAACGAAUGCAAAUAAAACAAAAAAAAAAAACAACAAUCGGUGAUACACGCGAUAAAGCACGUCUUGCCAUCAUUAGAACAACGACGACAACAAUAACAAAAACAACAAAUAAUGUAAAAUUAUGUGGAAAAACACCUAAGAAGACCCACCAGCAGAACUUCCUGGUUCAACGGAAGUUCGGGUAAAAAUUCGAAAAAAAAAAUAAGAAUGCAUGAAUAAAACAAUUCUGGAAUGUGAUUGCAAAAAAAAACGAAAAUGAAAACUUAAAGGGAAUUCAGCCAAAAUUCGAAAACAACAAUAACAAGGUGAAAAAAAAUAGUUGUUGUAAUGUGAAAAACACCAGCAUCAGUUGAGCGAACAAACAAGUGAUAUAAAAAUUGGAACACAUUUCGGUGUUUGUCCAGUCCACUGCAGCUGAUGAGCCAUUCGGGGUUACAAGAUAUUCGGCAUUGAAGGGCCUUAAAAAGGAUUCGCUUGCACAAAAACAACAAUAAAUAAGACGAGAAAGGAAGAGAAAGAGUUGGUAGUGAAAAAAUCUAAAAAAAAUAAUCUGAUAGCAGUUCCAAGCAUCUGAAGCAGCAGGCGGCCAGCAACAACACUGACCACAAAAAAAAACCAAACCGCAUUGGUCCUGCCAAAGGAGGCCUUAGAAAAAUUACAAUUUUCGCAAUAAUUCGGAGUGUUAAACACGUCGUGGUUGUCGUCGGUUACGCUCGAUCUAGUCCUUGGUCGCCAGCCUAGUCCAAGUAGCGGUCGCUCGAAACCGUCAUCGAUAUUACUCAUUGCGGUCGUGUUCGUGGUCGUCGUCUUUAUCGGAUAUUGGAUAUCGGAAAUUGGAACGCCAAAUCGUAUCGAAUUUGAUUGUCUAAGUGUGAGUGUGUGUGUACGGGUGCGCGUGUGUCUGUGUGUCUCUCUUUCAUUUCAAAUGUUGUUGUCUGCUGGUAGCCACUGCAAACCGUAGCCGAAUGCGAAUCCAAAUUACAUGCAAAAUAAAUGGGUACAAUGAGGCCAAAUAAAUAC